UGCUCCCUAUUUUUUUUAAAAUCCCAGAUCUCAAAGUGCUUAAAUUAAGCUGUUUUUUUUUUCUUCUCUCCAGCUGGGAGAAAGUUCUUGGAAUGAGAGAAAGAUAGUGGGCUUUAACAAAAGUUGAAAUGGAACACGAAAAUCGAAGGAGAGAAAGAGAGAUGUGUUUAAUGGAGGUGUUUAGAUGGAAAACUAGAAGAAAAUGGGGUUGAAUUGUAUUUGAUCGUACUGGAAGUUGUUUGUAGAUUCAUGAUGGAGGUGAAAAAUGAAAGAGAACCGACACAAUUUUUCGUAUCGUUUCCCACAGACGGCGCCAAAUGUUGAUGCACAAAACCCUAGGUUUUGGAACAACGUAAAUCCGACCAUGAAUCUGCAUGAAAUGUAAAGAACACAAGAUGUAUCGUGGUUCACCCCAAGGUUUGGGCUACGUCCACACUGAUUAUGUAUUUCUGAGAGUAUUGAGGAUGAAAGAGUUUUUGAGGGUGAGAGGGCCUAGGAAUUGGCCUCUCCCUAUUAUGAGGGUGAUGAGUCCUUUUAUAGAAUAAGGGCUCCUCACUUAUUACAUAUUUGCCCAUUCCUUUAUUACAUAAUUACAUUUAAGUCCCCUGCGUAUUUGUACGAGAUCUCAAUACGGAUGCCCUAAAUAUGGUAUAAACAAGCAUCACUCAUGUCAAUCAGCUUCAAAAGCUUCAUUUACAAAAGCUCUAGCUUCAAAAGCUUCAUUUACAGAGCUCCAGCUUCAAAAGCUUCAUUUACAAAAGCUCUAGCUUCAAAAGCUUCAUUUACAAAGCUCGAGCUUCAAAAGCUUCAUUUACAAAAGCUUUAGCUUCAAAAGCUUCAUUUACAAAGCUCCAGCUUCAAAGUUUCACUUGCAAAGCUUCACCUACAAAGCUUCAGUGCAGGGUAUACAAAUACCACCUCCGAACAACCGUCACUUCGGGCCAUACAUGGAUUCAAUUUGAAGUAUCCAGCCAAUAGACUCUAUUGACCGAAGACUUGGGGGACUACACUAUACACCAUAUAUUGGGCAUCAACUGGGCCUCAUGAAAAAUACUUGGGGGACCUAGCCCAUUAUUUAUGUAUUGAAGAACGAGCCCUUAUUCUAUAAAAGGGACUCCCUCACUUUCAUUAGAGAGC
rnacentral:lncRNA from 1 species